GCAUGUCUAAGCAUAAACUGAACUAAAGUAAAGCCGCGAAUAGCUCAUUACAACAGCCGUUGUUUCUUGGAUCUCCGCAAUACUUGGAUAACUGAGGUAAUUCUUGAGCUAAUACACGCAAUCGAGCUCUGACCUUUGGGACGAGUGCAUUUAUUAGAACAAAACCAAUCGGUGCUUGCACUGUGGUUUGGUGAAUCUGAAUAACUGAGCAGAUCGCUUCGGUCUCGUACCGGCGAUGUAUCCUUCAAGUGUCUGCCUUAUCAACUUUCGAUGGUAGUUUAUGUGCCUACCAUGGUUGUAACGGGUAACGGAGAAUUAGGGUUCGAUUCCGGAGAGGGAGCCUGAGAAACGGCUACCACUUCUAAGGAAGGCAGCAGGCGCGCAAAUUACCCACUCUCGGCACGAGGAGGUAGUGACGAAAAAUAACGAGACGAUUCUCUUUUGAGUAUCGUCAUCGGAAUGAGAACAAUCCAAAUCCUUUAACGAGGACCUAGCGGAGGGCAAGUCUGGUGCCAGCAGCCGCGGUAAUUCCAGCUCCGCCAGUGUAUAUCUAUGCUGCUGCGGUUAAAAAGCUCGUAGUUGGAUCUGCGUGCCACGGUCGGGUCCGUCUGUUAGACGUGCACUCGCGCCGGGCACUGAAACGUUGGUUUUCUCUUGGUGGCCUUCACCGGUUGCCCUGAGUGACUAACAUGUUUACUUUGAAAAAAUUAGAGUGCUUAAAACAAGCGUUUUGCUUGAAUAUUCGUGCAUGGAAUAAUAGAAUAGGACCUCGGUUCUAUUUUGUUGGUUUUCGGAACACGUGGUAAUGAUUAAGAGGGACAGAUCGGGGGCAUUCGUAUUGCGACGUUAGAAGCGAAAUUCUUGGAUCGUCGCAAGAACGGCCUAUUGCGAAAGCAUUGCCAAG
rnacentral:rRNA from 1 species